AACUUAGGUCACCCACGUUAACUUAGGACGUUUCUGUUGACUAACUUUGGGCGUUCUAUUUAUUAAAAUUUGAAAGUCAUAAAUGCUGGGCUUAAAAGAAAAGAAUCUCUCAGAACCUGAAAUGAAAAUUUAGCAUUAUAUGACAGUUUUGAGAAAAAUGAUUCAGAGUUCUUUAAAAAUUAAACUUCCCAAAUGAUUCUAGAUUGAAUUAUAUUCUGAAUACCUAAUAUCUGCAGAUUACUGUUUUAGAUGCUAUAGAGACAAAAAGUAGGUAUAUUAGCCUUCUAAUCCUUAAAGAAUCUGUAGUCCAAUUGGGGAAGUAAGCACAAGGCAGGUGAAAAAGAGAAAUAAUAAAACAAAGCAGCAUACAAUAAAUUUCCAAAUGACUAAUGCCAAUAAUCAGAGAUAUGUGUGCAAUUAGAUAACAAUAACUGAGUUAGAGCCAUCUAGAAAGAAAUCGUACUUGAUGUGAGUCUUGCAGAAGGGAAUAAUUUGGAUAAAACAGGAGAAUAAUUGGUGUAUAAAGGAGAAAGAAGAGUGGAGCAAAAACAUAGGUGUAGAUAAGCUUCAGAGAAAUUUAGGAAGCAGGGAUCAGACUCCCCCGGCUGUAGCAGAGGAACCCUGGGAGGACAACGAGGACUUGGAGGGAAUGAAGGUUGAAGUGAGACAAACAAGAACAUGAAUGCAAAGCCAUGGAGUUCAGACCUCCUCCCACAGACAAACUUCUGUACAAGGGCUGAAGACAGGACAAGAUGUGCUGAUGUAUAAAAAGUCUAAAUCUGCAGCAUAAUCGUGAAGAGAUGAGGAAAGCCACGUACUCAGAGCCUCACUUAAAGGAAAUGAAACAGUAAAACUGAAUCAGAUUUGGCUCUUCACUUCUGCCUUCAGUGCUGUCCAGACUCAGACAUUAUAUCAUUCUAGAUCCUUCCAAAAAAGAGCCCGCAUAGCCAAGACAAUCCUCGGCAAGAAGAACAAAGCUGGAGGCAUCACACUACCUGACUUCAAACUAUACUACAAGGCUACAGUAACCAAAACAGCAUGGUACCUGUACCAAAACAGAUGUAUAGACCAAUGGAACAAAACAAAGGCCUCAGAAAUAACACCACACAUCUACAACCACCUGAUCUUUGACAAACCUGACAAAAACGAGCAAUGGGGAAAGGAUUCUCUAUUUAAUAAAUGGUGUUGGAAAAACCGGCUAGCCAUAUGCAGAAAACUGAAACUGGGCCCAUUCCUUACACCUUAUACAAAAAUCAACUGAAGAGAUCAAAGACUUAAACGUAAGACCUAGUACCAUAAAAAUCCUAGAAGAAAACCUGGGCAAUACCAUUCAGGACAUAGGCAUGGGCAAAGACUUCACAUCUAAAACACCAAAAUCAAUGGCAACAAAAGCCAAAAUUGACAAAUGAGAUCUAAUUAAACUAAAGAGUUUCUGCAUAUCAAAAGAAAC
rnacentral:lncRNA from 1 species